UACGUAGGGGGCAAGCGUUGUCCGGAAUCAUUGGGCGUAAAGAGCGUGUAGGCGGUCCGAUAAGUCCGCUCUGAAAGCCCGGGGCUCAACCCCGGGAGGCGGGCGGAUACUGUCGGGCUAGAGUCCGGAAGAGGCAAGUGGAAUUCCUGGUGUAGCGGUGAAAUGCGCAGAUAUCAGGAGGAACACCGAUGGCGAAGGCAGCUCGCUGGGACGGUACUGACGCUGAGGCGCGAAAGCGUGGGGAGCAAACAGG
rnacentral:rRNA from 1 species